rnacentral:rRNA from 1 species
AUUGAACGCUGGCGGCAGGCCUAACACAUGCAAGUCGAGCGAGCGGCGGACGGGUGAGUAAUGUCUGGGAAACUGCCUGAUGGAGGGGGAUAACUACUGGAAACGGUAGCUAAUACCGCAUACCAUCAGAUGUGCCCAGAUGGGAUUAGCUAGUAGGUGGGGUAACGGCUGACCUAGGCGACGAUCCCUAGCUGGUCUGAGAGGAUGACCAGCCACAAUGGAACGGAGACACGGUCCAGACUCCGAGGGGAGGCAGCAGGGGGGAAUAUUGCACAAUGGGGGCAAGCCUGAUGCAGCCAGGCGGGGUGUGUGAAGAAGGCCUGCGGGUGGUAAAGCACUUUCAGCGGGGAGGCGUUACCCGCAGAAGAAGCACCGGCUAACUCCGUGCCAGCUGCCGCGGUAAUUC